AGGCUUAAUACAUGCAAGUUGAACGGAAUUAUUGGUAGUAAUAUUGAUAAUUUAGUGGCGCACGGGUGCGUAACACGUAUGCAACCUACCCUUAACAGGAGGACAACUCUUAGAAAUGAGAGCUAAUACUCCAUAAUAUUAUUUUUGGGCAUCUACAGAUAAUAAAAGUUACGACGGUUAAGGAUGGGCAUGCGUCCCAUUAGCUAGUUGGGGUGGUAAUGGCACACCAAGGCGACGAUGGGUAGGGGUUCUGAGAGGAAGGUCCCCCACACUGGUACUGAGACACGGACCAGACUCCUACGGGAGGCAACAGUAAGGAAUAUUGGUCAAUGGGCGGAAGCCUGAACCAGCCAUGCCGCGUGCAGGAAGACGGCCUUAUGGGUUGUAAACUGCUUUUGACGGGGAAAAAACGCCGAUACGCGUAUUGGUUUGCUUGUACCUGUUGAAUAAGCAUCGGCUAACUCCGUGCCAGCAGCCGCGGUAAUACGGAGGAUGCAAGCGUUAUCCGGAUUUAUUGGGGUUUAAAGGGUGCGCAGGCGGACGAUUAAGUCAGUGGUGAAAUGCAACAGCUUAACUGUUGAACUGCCAUUGAUACUGAUUAUCUAGAGUACAGACGACGUUGGCGGAAUGCGACAUGUAGCGGUGAAAUGCUUAGAGAUGUCGCAGAACACCGAUUGCGAAGGCAGCUAACGAGGAUGUAACUGACGCUCAUGCACGAAAGCGUGGGGAUCAAACAGGAUUAGAUACCCUGGUAGUCCACGCCCUAAACGAUGAUCACUCGUUGUUAGAAAUUUAUUUUUAGCGGCUAAGGGAAACCGAUAAGUGAUCCACCUGGGGAGUACGAUCGCAAGGUUGAAACUCAAAGGAAUUGACGGGGGCCCGCACAAGCGGAGGAGCAUGUGGUUUAAUUCGAUGAUACGCGAGGAACCUUACCUGGGCUCGAACGUGAGAGGAAUAUGGAAGAAAUUUCAUAGCUAGCAAUAGUCUCUUACGAGGUGCUGCAUGGUUGUCGUCAGCUCGUGCCGUGAGGUGUCAGGUUAAGUCCUAUAACGAGCGCAACCCCUACUUUUAGUUGCCAGCAUGUAAUGAUGGGGACUCUAAAAGAACUGCCAGCGCAAGCUGAGAGGAAGGUGGGGAUGACGUCAAAUCAGCACGGCCCUUAUGUCCAGGGCUACACACGUGCUACAAUGGUCGAAACAGAGGGCAGCUACUUGGUGACAAGAUGCAAAUCUCGAAACUCGAUCUCAGUUCGGAUUGGAGUCUGUAACCCGACUCCAUGAAGUUGGAUUCGCUAGUAAUCGCGCAUCAGCCAUGGCGCGGUGAAUACGUUCCCGGGCCUUGUACACACCGCCCGUCAAGCCAUGGAAGCUGGGGGUGCCUGAAGUCCGUAACCGCAAGGAGC
rnacentral:rRNA from 1 species